GUAAAUUUAACCAUUAAUAAGUGGAUAAAUAAGUUAAAAUAUCGAAAAUCUAGUAACAUGCUACAGUUAUAACAUUGUGACAUGUGUCCUGCGGCCACUAAGGCUAAUC